GGAUGUAGCUCAUUGAUAGAGUACAUGUUUAGCAUGCAUGAAGCUCUAGGUUAGAUUCCCAGCACCA
rnacentral:tRNA from 1 species